rnacentral:rRNA from 1 species
UACGGGGGGGGCAAGCGUUGUUCGGAAUUACUGGGCGUAAAGGGCUCGUAGGCGGCCAACUAAGUCGGACGUGAAAUCCCUCGGCUCAACCGGGGAACUGCGUCCGAUACUGGAUGGCUUGAAUCCGGGAGAGGGAUGCGGAAUUCCAGGUGUAGCGGUGAAAUGCGUAGAUAUCGGAAGGAACACCAGUGGCGAAAGCGGCUUCCUGGUCCAGCACCGACGUUCAGGCACGAAAGCGUGGGGAGCAAACAGG